GCAGGCCUAACACAUGCAAGUCGAGCGGUAACACAGGGAGCUUGCUCCCGGGUGACGAGCGGCGGACGGGUGAGUAAUGUCUGGGAAACUGCCUGAUGGAGGGGGAUAACUACUGGAAACGGUAGCUAAUACCGCAUAACGUCGCAAGACCAAAGAGGGGGACCUUCGGGCCUCUUGCCAUCAGAUGUGCCCAGAUGGGAUUAGCUAGUAGGUGGGGUAAUGGCUCACCUAGGCGACGAUCCCUAGCUGGUCUGAGAGGAUGACCAGCCACACUGGAACUGAGACACGGUCCAGACUCCUACGGGAGGCAGCAGUGGGGAAUAUUGCACAAUGGGCGCAAGCCUGAUGCAGCCAUGCCGCGUGUGUGAAGAAGGCCUUCGGGUUGUAAAGCACUUUCAGCGAGGAGGAAGGUGGUGAGCUUAAUACGUUCAUCAAUUGACGUUACUCGCAGAAGAAGCACCGGCUAACUCCGUGCCAGCAGCCGCGGUAAUACGGAGGGUGCAAGCGUUAAUCGGAAUUACUGGGCGUAAAGCGCACGCAGGCGGUUUGUUAAGUCAGAUGUGAAAUCCCCGGGCUCAACCUGGGAACUGCAUUUGAAACUGGCAAGCUAGAGUCUCGUAGAGGGGGGUAGAAUUCCAGGUGUAGCGGUGAAAUGCGUAG
rnacentral:rRNA from 1 species